UCUGAACGAAGUGUGCAGCUAGCGGAGUCUGUGUUACGGCUUCUAAGUACGGAUGGAGAACUAACCAGCAACCAAGAUGGUCAGCCCAGUCUUCAGCUUAAUAGAUUUUGAAGUAAAUUAAUCAGAGAAAAGUGUCAUCCUGUGUUGUGAUAAAUCCAGUCAGUGCUCAUUUAUGUGUGAUUUUCAAGAGUCCCCGAAGUCAGGUUUUGCUCCCCAAGGAGGGUUGCCUCAUGCUGCAUCUUAAUUUGAACCGCGCAGGUGUGAUCCGCUGUAGCGUUAGUGGCUUUGACGUCAUUAGUUCGUAACUGGGUGAGGGGUGUGAAGAAAUCUGGGUUAGACUUAUGACAGAAAUAGACAAGUUAUAUAUAAUCAAUACUGGCAGGUGUUUCAAAAAUCCUCUUAAAAAUCUAAGUCGCUGUGACUUUUGUCCUGUACCAGCCAGAGGAAGUAAAUGGGUGGAGUAGGAGGUGAGGCGAGGUGGUGAGUUUGUCUCAGGCCCUCCCCACUUAAGACCACUCUAACCUCAGCAGGAGUGGCGGGGCCACAUUUUGACGUUCCUGGGCCCCUUCCUCCAUAAAAAUAUAUUUAAAAGUAUGUUUUAUGAUAGCGUUGGCAUAAAGACGCAUAUAAUCCAGACUGGAUUCAUUCAUUCUUAUCAUAUUCAUUUUUUCCUUCUGACCUUAAAAGAAAUUAAAUCAAAACAUUUUCCUGGGUCCUUAUAAGUCCUGUGGGCUCUAGGCACUUCUCCUGCCAGAUUUGUGGGCCCUGGGAGUUAGACUGGCUCCUUCAGGAAAGACAAAGAGCUCUUUCGUGGCUCCAGGAGAGUUUGUGGCUUCCAGUUGUUGAGAAACUUUGGUGCAAAAUAAAGGGAAAGGUGAGUUUCCAGGAGGAGUUUCCUCCUGUCCCUUUUGGUCAUGCGGUAGGGAGGAAUAUGAAAGAUUUCCCGGACAGCAGUAAGGUGAGAAGUGGGAUGAAAAGUAAAGACUUGCCUGGGGAGGAGAGAAAGAAUUAGGGGCUCUGGAGGGUCAUUCAAGGCCAAAAUGGGGCCCACCUUAAAGGGGUCAAAAAACAGUACUUACUGACCACCUAGCUGUUGGGACUACGGAGGGCUCGUCCCAUACCAGGGAGUACGUACCUAUUGCUUUCAUGUUAGACUUCAACUCGGGGCUGUCUUACACAGAGGCCUAGCCAGAAAGGACCUGCCAGCCCUUGGACUAUUGCAAAGAGUAGGCUAGGCUAUUGGGCAAAAUUGGUAGGCGGCAAAAACAAGCAAGCAAACCAAAAAAAGGGCCGACUUACAUGUGAUGCUAUGCUGAGCUAUAUUCUAUGAUGGAAUACAAUGCUUUUUACUUGUUUCUCUGUAUUUUCUGUUUACCAUAAAUUCCUCAUGACGGUGAUAGGAGCCAACAUGCUGAGUGCUUCGGACAUGUCAAGCACUGUGCCAAGAGGAAAAACUGCUCUGACAGUAAAGAAGAAACCUUAGAGAUGAAAACCUGAGUAGAAGAAAAUUCUCAGGGCAGCCUCGGCCAUGUUGGAUCUCGUGAGAAGGAAAGCACAACGUUGGAGAAGGCAGCCAGUCGCCCAAACCCUCCCUCAGCCCAGGAGCAGUGGAGCAAAACAUGUGACUUUGAGGGCAGAGCUGGCUGCAGGGCAUUUCUGCCCAUCACCUCUGUGAACUCAACUUUCUUCCUUUAAGACCUGCUUUUGUAGUUCUGGAUCAGCUGGUUGAGUCAAGACAUCUGGAAAAGCCAGUCCAGUCCAAGCUGAGCCAGCCUGAAGCUCGACGAUGGCGUCCAGGAAGUUGGCAGCUCAGCGGACUCGCAACUUGGUUUUGUGAAAGAAGUGCAACAAAACAGUAACCCCAUAACCUAGGACAUCAAUGAGCCAAUACUCUCUCAUUAGAAGUGAAGACAAGAAAAUUUGCUGUGUGAGCGUAUUCUUUUUUCCCUCUCUGUGCAUAGACCUGACGUCACCACUGGGAAGCCCUGGGCUGGGUGUGUGCUCAGGUGACUCAUGCGGAAGGACACACCUCUCUGGGGAGCAUCACCUUUCUCAGGAAGGAAAAGUCCCCAACAUCAGGCUUUCAGGACACUCACCAGGACUUUUCUGGAAUAAAUCGAGUUACUGAUAGGUGAGUCCACACUGGUGGAACAAGUCAGAGUUCUCCAGAAGUAUCUGUGACAACUGGUUAGAAGUGUGAUAGACCUCCAUGUUAAGUAAUUGAGAAUCUCAUUGUGCCUGUUCACUGGUGGGGUGCACCUGCAAUGGGCCGAGCACAGAUGAGGACCUCAGUGAAGGAGAUUCUAGGAGGUGCCACAAGUGCACUUGGGUUCCUUCAAAUGCCAUGAAGGCAAAAGCCUUGUCUGUCUUGUUCACCUUGGUGUUCUCAGUACCUGUAGUAGUUGCUCAAUAAACCCGUGUUGGAUGAAUGAAUUGAUUGCCUUUGAUGGACUGCAUAUGGUGCUAGAGGUGUGAGUUGACUAAGUGCGGUAUGGUAUGAGUUGACUAAAGAUAUGAGUUGGCUAAGAUGUGGAUGUUGUCCUUGAAGAGUUCUCAGGCUAUUAUGUAAGGCAAAUAGUUGGGAAAAAAAACAACACAAAAUUUAGUAACAGAUGUAUGAAAAGGUCCUAAGGAAGCUCCAAGGAGGGAGCUAAUUUUGUGUUGGAGAGCAUGCAGGUCAAUCACGGCUUCAUGGAGGAGGCAAACUUGACAGGGACACGUGAAAGAUUGAGAACCAUGUAGAAGACCGAGAAACAUUAACCAGUCAGAAAGACUUUGUGCUUCACCAAAGGAGUGGGAGAUGAGCUGGCUCUUGAAGGAUGUGAAGGGGAUGGAUACUGAUGGGAGAGAAGAACAAUGCAAGCAUGAUUUCUAUUGCUGAGGAACUCACUGUGUAAACGGGGCGGGGAGGUCAGGGCAAAUCUCUGUGAAGGGGCAUUAGAAAGCAUGCAUUGCAGGAUGUUACACUGGGGCCAUUCCUGCCUAUUUUGACUGAGACACCAACAUGAUAGUUAUCAGCUAACAAAGGGAGUAUGAAACAGAACCCAUCACCUUCCCACCCUCUGCAGAUUUACAGAAAAAUAACCCUGAGGACAUGUCUCAUGUCUCUCAGCCGCUUCAACCAGAUCAAGGAAUUUUCAGGGCAAGGAUGCCUUAACACUUGCCCCAUUUCCCAUGGACUAGAUAAAGGCCACUCAGGAGAGAGAUGAGGUGGAGUCGUCUCCAAUAGGAGAGGUCCUCUGUCAAGAGGAGAGGAGAAACUGCACCGAAAAGGGCCAGAGGUGCGUUGCUCAAUGCCCAGGGGAUGAAGGAAGAGCUGUAAGAGGCUACCAAAAAUAGAGAUGUCUUUACCAAGUCAAUGGGGACUAGCAAGAGACUCAUGAAGAACUGCAAAGGCACUUAAUGAGGCCAAGAGUUCUUCUACCUGGGGACACCAGCGCUAGCCAUGUGCCAGACCCAGAGAGCACAAAGCCAUUCAGCCAAGUAAGUAUUAUCCUAUCCCCCAUCCCUCCCCUGCCUCCUCUCUUCCAGGUCUGACAGUGAGGGAGGCGGGGGGGAGUGUGAUAGGAAGAGGAGAGCUGAAGUGUCAAACCUCCUUCCACACUCUGGGCUUCCAGCCUGAGGCAGACCCAAGGACAGAGGAUUCAACACUAAGCUGAGUUCAGCCUCUUGAUUAUUACAUGGGACUGGACAUUAUUACUACCAAAGUGAGAAUGUCUUUGUGGCUCAAAGUGACUCCAAUGCUGUUUAUGACCUAGAAGUGAGCAGAAAAGACACAACACCUGCUAGAGUUUUUAUCCAGGGGCAGGGAAGUUUAACCCACUGAGGAAACCAUUAAGGGACCAUGGGAGACAAAAACAGUUCUGGGUACAUCACGAAUCAUACUUAUUCAACCUGCCUCUUACAUGUUCAGACAGUGCUUGGCAGGCAGUGAGUGUUCAAUAAAUAUAUUUUUACUGAGUAAUGUCAACCAGGUUGUAAUGGUUGCAACAGAACUAUCUACAUGGAGACGUGGAAGACACAAGAACACCAAGGUCAAACCCAGAAGUUGUGGUUUGGGGUUGCAAUGAAUGACUGAAGGGUUGCUAUGUAACCUCACAAAAGUCAUGAUUACAGGGUGACAUCAGUGACUUUGUGGCUUUCUGAAUGGAGCAUCCAGGGAGCCGAAGCCCGUAGGUGAGGUCCCUUUGUGGAAGACAACUAAUGACCAACGACUCCUGAUUUUAUAGCUCCAUAGAAAAUGCACAGAAGUUUUUAAUCUCUUCACACGUGAGGAGACAACACUAUCUUAGGUACUGAAGGUGCCUAGUCUGCCAUUGAUAGAAGUUAAGACCUUCGCUGAGGUUUCCUCCAAGAAGGAUAGGGUGGAAUGCUCAUCAGUUCCUUCUGCCCUCCUUCCAGAGUGCUUUCUUCUCUCCUGAGGCUGGAAGGCUAAAGACUACAUUUUCCCAACUCCCUGGAAGCUAGGCUUCUCGAGGGCGUUCAAGAUUGACCAAUCAUGGACACUCACAUAGAUUUGGAAGACAGACAUGGGCUGGGGCUCAUGCUUCUUUUGCUUCAGAGAGCCAACAAGCACGUGAAGGCAUUUGGCCCUUCCAGAGUCUGUUACUUUCAUAGGUGGUGAGAGGCAGAGUGGGAGGCAUUCAUUCAUGUGGGAGCAGGUGUGGUGCGAUCUGGAGCUGGCAGCCGUGGAGGAUUCCGGGUCUCGGCAGUUUUCUGGUCACUGCAGUGCAGUGAGGGUCUGGAGGAGGAAGCCUCCUGGUUGUAGGUGAGGCAGCAGCUCCCUUGAUGGGCCAGUUCUGCGGUGCAUUUCAGGAGUCUUUCCUGACAACGCAACCCAAACCCUGUUUCUUCAGCCCCCACAAUGAUUCUACAAGCCAUUUAAUACCUUGAAAUAAAUCCCUUCUCACCUAAACUAAUUAGAAAGGAUUCUGUUCUCUACCCCUGAACCCCCACAGAUACAGCGUGGCAUGUAAAGAAAAUAGAAUUGAAAUUAAUAUGUCUGAGGAGCUAACCACAGGAAGGGAUGAGUGCA